rnacentral:rRNA from 1 species
CCGGGUCUUGUACACACCGCCCGUCACACCAUGGGAGCGGGAUGUACCAGAAGUAGGUAGGCUAACCGCAAGGGGGCCGCUUACCACGGUGCGUUUCGUGACUGGGGUG